GAGUUUUCUGGUGGAUGAAAAUG
rnacentral:snRNA from 1 species